GACGAACGCUGGCGGCGUGCUUAACACAUGCAAGUCGAACGGAAAGGCCUGCUUUCCCUUGUGGAUUGCGGGUACUCGAGUGGCGAACGGGUGAGUAACACGUGAGUGAUCUGCCCCCAACUUGGGUAUAAGCCUGGGAAACUGGGUCUAAUUCCCGAUAGGACUGCAGGGUGGUGCCUGUGGUGGAAAACGAUUUUCUAGUGGUUGGGGAUGAGCUCGCGGCCUAUCAGCUUGUUGGUGGGGUAAUGGCCUACCAAGGCGGCGACGGGUAGCCGGCCUGAGAGGGUGGACGGCCACAUUGGGACUGAGAUACGGCCCAGACUCCUACGGGAGGCAGCAGUGGGGAAUAUUGCAGAAUGGGCGGAAGCCUGAUGCAGCGACGCCGCGUGGGGGAUGACGGCCUUCGGGUUGUAAACUCCUUUCGACCGCGAGGAAGCCACCUGGUUGGAAGGGUGGUGACGGUGGUGGUAGAAGAAGCACCGGCUAACUACGUG
rnacentral:rRNA from 1 species